CACACCGCCCGUCACACCACGAAAGUGAGGUGCAACCAAAACCGGUGAUUGAACCCGCAAGGGACAUAGCCGACAAAGUUGUGACUCAUGAUUGGGGUG
rnacentral:rRNA from 1 species